UAUCAGAGUUGUUGAAGCCAGAUUCGCGCAAGGAAAGAGAAGACCUCAAAAUGAAUUAGAGAUCCCAUAUUCUCCAACUACACAUGCGGACGAACUUUUACUUGUUAGAAUAACAAUGGAUUGUAUAACAGUGGAAAUCAGGGGCUACUCAAUUCUGUUUUCCGAUGGAAAAAAGUGAUAUCAUGUCGAAAGAUUAGAACGUCAAGCUCGGGGUUGAAGUUUUUUUUUCAAAAUCGAGAUUGAAAAUAUUUAUCGAGAUCAAAAGAAAGCAUAUUUUGAGAUGAUGCCUGUAUGAUUCUGUAACGGAAAGAUGAGAUACCCGCAACAGGCCAGGGAUCAUUCAGAAUGGAUUGAUCUUCAGCGGUUAAACAAUUAUCAAAUAUG
rnacentral:lncRNA from 1 species